rnacentral:rRNA from 1 species
UGGGGAAUAUUGCACAAUGGGCGCAAGCCUGAUGCAGCCAUGCCGCGUGUAUGAAGAAGGCCUUCGGGUUGUAAAGUACUUUCAGCGGGGAGGAAGGGAGUAAAGUUAAUACCUUUGCUCAUUGACGUUACCCGCAGAAGAAGCACCGGCUAACUCCGUGCCAGCAGCCGCGGUAAUACGGAGGGUGCAAGCGUUAAUCGGAAUUACUGGGCGUAAAGCGCACGCAGGCGGUCUGUCAAGUCGGAUGUGAAAUCCCCGGGCUCAACCUGGGAAUUGCAUCUGAUACUGGUCAGCUAGAGUCUUGUAGAGGGGGGUAGAAUUCCAUGUGUAGCGGUGAAAUGCGUAGAGAUGUGGAGGAAUACCGGUGGCGAAGGCGGCCCCCUGGACAAAGACUGACGCUCAGGUGCGAAAGCGUGGGGAGCAAACAGG